AUCAACAUUGGGUGUUACUAUAUUGUUGGAUUGCCGGCUGGGAUACUCCUUGGAUUCACAUUUGGUUUUGGGGUUAUGGGUAUUUGGUCAGGAAUGAUCGGAGGCAUUGUUUUGCAAACCUUAAUCCUGGUAGUUGUCACUUCACUAACCAACUGGAACAAGGAAGCUGAAGAAGCAGAAAGCCGUGUGAAGAAAUGGGGAGGAUCAAUUGCAGAGCAUUGAUUUGAAUCUGUCUAAGUGAAUUAGGGUCCAGUAAUGAUUUGUUUUUCAGGGGCCAAUUACAGCUUUUAGUCAUCAUUUUAUAAGCAUUUAGGAUUACUUCUAAAGGCAAUGUGUUAGGCUAUAUUUGUAAGUGUAAAUGGGGUUCUUGUGACAAAAAGAGGAAACGUAGUAAAUAAGUAAGGAAUGUACCGGAGAGAAAGAUUAGACUAAUUCUUAUAGUACUCAGUGUUGUGGCAAGUGAAAGAGAAUAAAAAGAGAAUAAGUGUUCUGAGUGAUAAUAGGCUAGAGAGAAGCUUUGAGUGAGAGUCAGAUAGCUCUGGAAGUGAAAGUCCCCCACUUGAAUUGUGAAGGUUCUAUCUAUAGUGUCAAAAGUAAUGAUAACAAGAAAAGCCUUUAAUACACAUAAUGAAUGAUAUUAUUAAGGAGAGUUUUAAUAUUAGGUAAUUGUUACUGAGAGUUAAUGUUGAGUAAUGACUAGAAACUCAUUAGGUGACUGUUAAAGUAAUUAUAUGUAAUAAAAUUUGUUCUCGAGUAAGAGCUAAUAAAGAAGAGAUAUAAGUGAACAGGCAUAAGAAAAGAAGCUGUACGUGAAUAGGUUCAAGAGAAAAAGCUACACAUAAACAGGUACAAUAGAACAAGGUAAACGUAAGAAACACUUAUACUUGAGAAAAAGAUUAAAAGAGAUACCUCUUAACUAUUUCCAUAUUUAAACAACCAAGCCAAACUCUCCAGAACAUUCUAAUAUAAAACUAACCCAUGAACCUUGUCAUUUAUUCUGAAUUACUUUCACUGUCAUCUAUAUGAAAUUGUUAUUUUGCACGAAGUAAUUGUUCUGCUUAUAUUAAUUGUUUCACAUGGAAUAAUACUCCACUUAUUUUAGUUGUUUCAUAUGGAGUAGUAACUCACUUCUUUUAAUUGUUUUACCUAAAUUAGUACUUCACUUAUAGUGAUUAAUUUUAUUAUUUUCUAUAUAACGUUAUAGAAUAAAAUAAUUCUUUCUUGAAUAAGUGUUAAUCAAAAUCGAUUAUCUAUAGUAAAUUUCCAUAAACCAGUAAGAGCAACACAGAUUUUAAAAUCUUGACAUGACAAGAUGUGAUUGAAUUCUAAUUUAAGUAAAUCAUAUUUCUCCAAUCAUCUAUAAUUUGAUUUGAACAAGCUGACAAGUUGAAUGAUUUUCCAUUUUUUUCCCCAUUUACUUGGAUAUGGCACUAAUAGGAAUGUCCACAGUUUUUCUCUGGUAAGAUGGAAGCAUUCAUUGAAUCCUUCCCCGUAAUCGAUCAUGAACCAUUAACCAUCCUUGAAUAACUUGAAGAAUGUAGCCGGGAAUUGACUUCCAUGAUGACCAAGGACCAAGACUUCUCCUAGAAAUCUUGGAAUCUCAAACGGAAUUGAAGCAUGCAAAAAAGUGAUAGA